rnacentral:rRNA from 1 species
UACGAAGGGGGCUAGCGUUGCUCGGAAUCACUGGGCGUAAAGCGCACGUAGGCGGCUUUUUUAAAGUCAGGGGGUGAAAUCCUGGAGCUCAACUCCAGAACUGCCUUUGAUACUGAGGAGCUCGAGUCCGGGAGAGGUGAGUGGAACUGCGAGUGUAGAGGUGAAAUUCGUAGAUAUUCGCAAGAACACCAGUGGCGAAGGCGGCUCACUGGCCCGGUACUGACGCUGAGGUGCGAAAGCGUGGGGAGCAAACAGG